AUUGAACGCUGGCGGCAUGCCUAACACAUGCAAGUCGAACGGCAGCACAGCAGUAGCAAUACUGUGGGUGGCGAGUGGCGGACGGGUGAGGAAUACGUCGGAAUCUGCCCAGUCGUGGGGGAUAACUAGCCGAAAGGUUAGCUAAUACCGCAUACGACCGAGAGGUGAAAGCGGGGGACCGCAAGGCCUCGCGCGAUUGGAUGAGCCGACGUCGGAUUAGCUAGUUGGCGGGUAAAGGCCCACCAAGGCGACGAUCCGUAGCUGGUCUGAGAGGAUGAUCAGCCACACUGGAACUGAGACACGGUCCAGACUCCUACGGGAGGCAGCAGUGGGGAAUAUUGGACAAUGGGCGCAAGCCUGAUCCAGCAAUGCCGCGUGUGUGAAGAAGGCCUUCGGUUGGUU
rnacentral:rRNA from 1 species